ACUACGGGUGGCAGCAGUGGGGAAUAUUGGGCAAUGGGCGCAAGCCUGACCCAGCAACGCCGCGUGAAGGAAGAAGGCUUUCGGGUUGUAAACUUCUUUUGUCAGGGACGAAGCAAGUGACGGUACCUGACGAAUAAGCCACGGCUAACUACGUGCCAGCAGCCGCGGUAAUACGUAGGGGGCAAGCGUUAUCCGGAUUUACUGGGUGUAAAGGGCGUGUAGGCGGGGAAGCAAGUCAGAUGUGAAAACCCCGGGCUCAACCUGUGGCCUGCAGUUGAAACUGUUUUUCUUGAGUGCUGGAGAGGCAAGCGGAAUUCCGUGUGUAGCGGUGAAAUGCGUAGAUAUACGGAGGAACACCAGUGGCGAAGGCGGAUUGCUGGACAGUAACUGACGCUGAGGCGCGAAAGCGUGGGGAGCAAACAGGAUUAGAUACCCUUGUAGUC
rnacentral:rRNA from 1 species